rnacentral:rRNA from 1 species
AUACGUAGGGCGCAAGCGUUGCCCGGAAUUACUGGGCUUAAAGGGUCCGUAGGCGGCUCCGUAAGUCGGCGAUGAAAUGCCGCGGCUUAACCGCGUGCGCCGUCGCCGAUACUGCGGGGCUAGAGUGGGGAGUAGGCGGCUGGAAUGCGCGGUGUAGCGGUGAAAUGCAUAGAUAUCGCGUGGAACGCCGAUAGCGAAGGCAGGCCGCUGCUCCCCUACUGACGCUGAGGGACGAAAGCGUGGGGAGCAAACAGGAUUAGAAACCCCAGUAGUCC